UAAGGAAUAUUGGUCAAUGGAGGCAACUCUGAACCAAGCCAUGCCGCGUGCAGGAAGACCGGCCCUAUGGGUUGUAAACUGCUUUUACCAGGGAAUAAACCCCUUUACGUGUAGUGGGCUGAAUGUACCUGAUGAAUAAGGAUCGGCUAACUCCGUGCCAGCAGCCGCGGUAAUACGGAGGAUCCGAGCGUUAUCCGGAAUUAUUGGGUUUAAAGGGUGCGUAGGCGGCCUGAUAAGUCAGGGGUGAAAGACGGUGGCUCAACCAUCGCAGUGCCUUUGAUACUGUCGGGCUUGAAUGUACUUGAGGUAGGCGGAAUGUGACAAGUAGCGGUGAAAUGCAUAGAUAUGUCACAGAACACCGAUUGCGAAGGCAGCUUACUAAAGUAUGAUUGACGCUGAGGCACGAAAGCGUGGGGAUCAAACAGGAUUAGAUACCCUGGUAGUCCACGCCCUAAACGAUGAAUACUCGAUGUUGGCGAUAUACAGUCAGCGUCCAAGCGAAAGCGUUAAGUAUUCCACCUGGGGAGUACGGCCGCAAGGUUG
rnacentral:rRNA from 1 species